rnacentral:rRNA from 1 species
CCGGAAUCAUUACGUCUCGGAUUACUGGGCGUAAGCGUGCGUAGGUGGUCGUUUAAGUCCGUUGUGAAAGCCCUGGGCUCAACCUGGGAACUGCAGUGGAUACUGGGCGACUAGAAUGUGGUAGAGGGUAGCGGAAUUCCUGGUGUAGCAGUGAAAUGCGUAGAGAUCAGGAGGAACAUCCAUGGCGAAGGCAGCUACCUGGACCAACAUUGACACUGAGGCACGAAAGCGUGGGGAGCAAACAGGAUUAGAUACCCCCGUAGUCCA